rnacentral:lncRNA from 1 species
CUCCCUUCACUAAGUUGAGCUUCAUCUUUUAAAUUCAGGGAUGAAGGCAAGGAUAUGCUGAUCAAGGAUAAUGAAUAGGAGGGUUAGGGGUAUCUGGGGCACACUUGUUAAUUUUUAAAAAGUGUGUGUUUUGAGCAGCCAUUUCAAAGAGGAAUGGCUCAUGACAGACAGCUACAGGAAAAUGUUCUGUUGAAGGAGAGAAUGUUGAUAAUAGGUGGUACCACUGCAGGGCAGAGGUAGCAGACAUAUGGUGCAGGGAAGGGAGAACAGGAGCAGUAUUGCUACAAUUCACCCCACACCUGCAUACAAUAGUCUUGGAAGUCAGCCAGUGUUACUUCUGCAACAUUUCUUGUACCCACCUUUUUCUUCUCUGGAAAUGAAGACCUCUUUUUUUGUUACAGCAGUAGUUUAUCAACAUUUCUUGCUAUGAGUUACCUCCUGUUCUUAAACUAUGUCAAGACAACUGUUUUUACCAGUUGUGCACGUGAUAAUUUAAAAAGCCAAACAUAUGUUUAAAAAGUCAAAUCUAUAUCUAUCUGUAAUUAUCUAUAAUAAUGUAAUUACCUUUCUUGUACUGUCAUAUACUUAAAUGGGAUAGAAUUGACUACAGGAAAAGCUAAAGCUCAUGAAUUGUUUAUCUUCAUAUAAACUUUACGUAGCAAAAGGAAAAUGAUUGAGAAUAACAACCUUCAGGAGAAAAGUCCAAAUUUCAGACUACUGACCUCAACACAACUUUCUGGAAUCUCUUUUUUACCCUUAUUCCUGCAAAAUGGGUUCAUCCACAGAGGGCUACUCACUUCUCCCAUAUAUUUGCAUACCUCUGAGACUUCGAAUAUCCUAGUCCUCCUUUCCCCACUAUGACUAUGAACAUUCUUAUUUUAAGAUACACUACUUAAUGACCCACUCAGACUUCUCCAGGUACAGCUAACACCACCAUAUUCCUUGGUCGCACUAUAAUAAAAUGAAUCCUACGUGGACUCUUCCUUCCUACCACUCAUGAACCCUAAACUUUAAGGAAGGCCCUGCACCUUCAGACAGCUCCUUAUCACAGUACAGUGCCUGGCUGAUAGUGUUCUGUCAAUGGUCCUUCAAAUAGAGAUGGACCCAGCAGCAACAAAACAUCUAGUCCUAAAGGACAUUAAAGAAUUCAGGUUGUUUACAAGGCUGAUUCAUUGAACUUACUCCAUGAACUUCUAUUUUAAAAGAUCUUCAAGUAGAGAAAUCUUGUAAUUUUCACAGUAACACUUUAAGGCAUCAAAUAGCCCUUCUUCAAACUUUUCUUUUAUGCAGGAAAUACUCAGAAAAUUUUACAAAAUGGAUGCCUAAGCCAAACAUGGUGGUACACACCUGUAAUCCUAGCACUUGGGAGGCUGAGGGAAGAGGAUUGCUGCAAGUUCGAGGCCAGCCAGGGCUAUACAGUGAGUUCAAGUCCAGCCUGAACUACAUAACAGAAAAGAAUGGCUAAAUUAUCAAAAUAUAAAUUUUAUACUUAUCAAGGGUCUUCUGAAAAGCACUGUAAUCUAAUGAAGAAAACAUGUCUUACCUGACAUUCCUAAUAUUUUCAAUGUUUUUAAACUCAUUUCUUUUUUGUUUUCCUUUUUAAACUCAAAGAAUUCAUUCAUUUAUUUUUCCUUUCUUAUUUGUUCCUGAUAUUUUAUUAGUUUUAAGGUCUUCAAUGUUGAUUAGAUCCCCAGUUUGAAUAUACAAAAUUCCUUGAACAUCUUUUUUAAAGUCUUAAAUCUCUAAGCAAUGCACAAAUUUUCCUUUCUCUUAAAUAAGAAAGAUGGCAAAGUUCUCCAGAAUCCCUAUAAAUAAAUAUACACUUGGCAAUUAAGAUGCUCAAAAUUUUUCUUGCUUCAGAGACCUGAGGACCUCUGACUACAUGCAUACCAAUGGAGUUCCUUCAUUUUGGUAUACGUGUAAUUAAUGUUUUUUAAUAUAUCCAGUAAAUCUCAAGAGCCCCAAGGAGCUACUAGCAGAUGAAGCAGGAUAUUUAUGGGAAAGCUUUAUAAUAUGUUGCAAUAGGAAUGCAUAGAGGUUAUUCCAUGAACUCUGGGAAAUUAGAUGGACUCCAGAAAAGAGUGGGAACAUAAGGUGACAAAUAAUCUCCUUGAGAGUUAGGAAUUAAGAGUGAAGAAGAAUAUAUAUAUAUAUAUAUAAAGAUCCUAAGAGGUGUAAAUGAAAUGCAAUGAACCAGAAGCUACCACACCUAACUAUUUUGAAAUGCUUCAAAGUUUAUGAAAGAUCUAUUAUAUGUUUAAGUCUAUAACUUUUCAACAGAUAAAAAUAUCACCCUAAAUUUGAAACUAUAAGAUAGUCUAUUUAAAAAUAUACUAUUCCAGCCCUUGAAAGGCUGAGGCAGAAGGAUCAAAAAUUUGAGACCUUGUCUCAAAAUCAACCAAUCAAUCCCAUUUCUUCCAAGUAAGGAGAAGAAAAAAAUCACAUAAUACAAGUAAACACACAAGUUAUUUCACAAUAUUUAACUUCAGCAAAGCUUAUUAUAUCAAAAAAUGAACUUUCAAAUCAUUAGAUUUAUAUUAACAUAGUCAAGAAUAUAUAUUGAGCAUUGUAUUGGUUAUAUGUGGUAUAGGAUUAUAAGGACUGGGUAGCGGCCCUUACCCUUGAAGAGUUCACAUUACAGUAACAGAUGGGGCACUCUUUGUUUUAGACAUGUGUGUUCAAUUUUCUAUAAUAUUUAGACCAAUUUUUCUCCAUAUUUUUCAUGGAACAUCAAUCCUAUUAGAAGGGCAAAUAUAUUUGUAGAACAGGAUAUACCCAGAGGAUACCACAGAAGGAUAUUAAAGGUCCUGAGAUAUCUUGUAGUAAAGAAAUUUAACUUUACUUGGCAUUUUCCAAGAUUAUGUAACUGCACAAUCUUUUUGACUUAAUGCCUAUAAAUAAGUUAUGGCACCUUUUGGGAAAUGCUGAUUUGGGCACACAACUUUAAAAACACAUUCUUAUAUAUUUCCCAAGGCACUGAAAAUACAAACUUUUAAUAACUUACAUUUUUAGAAAAUAAAUGAAAGAGCAAAUUUGUAAAUUCUUGAGAAAGUAUUAAAAUUUAAAGCAUAAGGUUAAGGGAUAGAGGGAGGAUAACAAUAGAAUACUGUUUUAAAGCAGCACACAUCAUUUGUAACUGAAAAUUAUGCUUUAUGAAGACUACAAAUACCACUAAAAUUUUUAAAAACAGAUGAAUUAAAGAUAUAAUUCUUUGAUUAAAAUCUCCUUUAUGUGAUUAUAGACUGUUUAGACUGUUUCAAAAAAGAUCUUAAUCUGAGACAAAUUUUAUUUACUAUAUAUUCUUAAUUACAUACAGAGGAAAGGCUUUACAUUCUCUAUAUUCCAUCUGUUAACUUAAUUUUUCUGCCCUUUUAUGAAUUUUAAGUUCCUAUUUGCUUUUUUGCUUGAUGCUAACUAAUGGAAUUCUGUAUUUAGGCACUUUUGUUUAUUUUUUAUUUUUUUAAAAAGCAAGCUCAAAAGAGGAAAAUGUCCACUUUUCCCUGAAGCUGCAGAAAAACAAAUAGAAUUCUGUUCUAUAUUGUAGGACAUUUAAAACAAAAUAGUACUGUCAGCCUGGAUUUCAGAGUUGCUAUAUCCUGUAAAAAUAGCUUAUGAUAAAAUCUGUAAUUCUGACCUACUUAAUAAUUUGUGGCCUUGUUACUAUUUUUUAAAGAAAUUCUGAUUUUUUAAAGUUUCUUUUGCAAAUUUAUAGAAAAAAAAUCAUUUCAUAUCCCUCUUCUUGGAAAUAUAUGAUCAUGCACCUAUACCCACCUUUAAGUUAUUUAAGGAUUUUUGGCUACCUAAUCUUAAUAGGUGCUAAGACCAAAACAAAAUGCAACAAAUAUUUAUGUAUAAUAUUGAAGAGGAAACUGAUUAACUUGGAGAAAAAAAUAAUUGGUCUAUGAAAAUGCGUAUUUCCUUUCAACAGAAAGCAGUAAAAAUUUUUGCUUUCCCAUAUUCCUCCUAGGUGGAAAGUGCUGUCCUCAUUUGAGAUUAUCCUUUUAUUUCCCAAAAGUCAUUAACUGAAUGAUUCUCAAGCUUUUGGGUAGUUUCUGACGAUAGAUAAUUAUAAAAAUAACAAAGGUUCCUCAUUUUUGGAGGACAUAGCUAGCAGGCCUUUUAUCUCCUCUGCUGGGGCUAUUACAAACUAUUACUAAACUAAGGCUAUGCGAAUUUUUAUUCACAGGCAUCACUGUCCUUAUCUUCAUUAAUCAACUGGUUUCCUUGCUAACUCAUUCACAUGUUACUCUUCUUCUAGAUCAAGGCUGUAAACUAAACAAAGAGAAUUAAUGAAUAAAAUAAUUUCCCUUGAGAGUUCUUUAUAAAUUCAGGUUAAUAUUAUAGAUGCAUGGCUCAUAAGUUUUCAAGAUUAUACGUACUUUUAUAGGGUGCGUAGAAACAUAAUGUAACAGCUGACAUGACUGUUGGCUACUGCUAGGUUUGGAAUAAAAUUUUGCUAUUUAUAAUAGUCAGGUAAUAUACUUUAUUAAGAAAUAUUAGAGGAAUCUGUGAAGUCCUACAGAUUUUUCAGCCUUUGCAACCCCUCCAUAUGGAAACAAUAGGGAUGGUAUAAUUUUCAAUUGGGAUUCUAAAGAGACUGAACCAAAAUGGCCAGGUACACUGUACAUUUUUGUUUUUAGGGGGGGGGACCGGGGAUCAAACUCAGGACCUUGUGCUUGUGAGGCAGGCAGUGACACCAUGGAGCUAAAUCCCUGGUCCUACAUUUUCCUUAAGAAAUCGUCAGCCAUCAGACCGGACUUUUCAGUGGAAAAGUCCACCAGUGGGAGACAUGACCUAUGGCCCAACUCUCACCUCAGGGAGCCUUUUCAUAUAUCCUGUUGCCACUUGGCAGGUACAAGAUAUUUUGUCUCAGAUCUAUGCUUUAUGUUAAAGUUGUUCAUCUCAUCUAUCAAAUAAUUUAUCAUUAAUCUUUGCUUUCUUCUAUACAAAGAGGUGAGAAGAAAGUUUCUUGAGCACUUGCUACUUGACUCACCACACUAGUAGUCCAGGUUACAUGUACUUCCUUGACAUCAUCCAGACAGUUGAUAGACCUUCUAUUCUAACCCAGUAUGAAAAAUUCAACCCCUUCCAGACCUGUUCCAAGUUGAGUUGAUCACGAAGCAACAGAGCUUUAUUUGCCUGUCAGUAGGAAAGUUGUGCCUUUAUCCUUAUGUUCUCCCUUAGUACAAUCCAACUUUUGCUUUCAUGCUUUGAGGUUUGGCCUUGGCCACUUUUGAACUAGGUAUAAAGACAAUAGAACUUUUAAGGUAGAGCUCUGAAAACCUUCCUGCAAGGAAUCUGUUCAAUCACUUUCUUGGAAAAUAAAUCCUUACUUAAGACCUGUCCCUCAACUUAGGAGAAAAUAGAAUUGUUAAUCUCUCACCAGAGAAGACUGGCAAAUGAGCACUACUAGAAUGGCAAGUGCAUGACACUAUGAGCACUAUGAGGGUUGCUUCUCGAUACCUGUCCUAGUCUAUUCAGGUUACAAUAACAAAAUACCACAGACUGUGUGGUCUAUGAACAACAGAAAUUUAUUACUUACAAGUCUAGGGACCAGGAAGUCCAAGAACAAGAUGCUGGAAGAUUUGUUUGGUGAGGGUCUGUUUCCUAGAUUGCAUAUUUGCUGUGUUGUAAUAACCUCUGUUGGCUGUUGUUAGCUAUAGCCUCAUAGGACAGAAAGGGCAAAUCAAUUUUCUGAGGUCUCUUUUAAAAGAACAGUAAUUUAUGAGGGUUCUGCCUUCAAGAUCUAAUCAUCUUCCUGAGACCACCAACCUCCUAAUACUAUCUCCUGAUACCAUUUCCUCAGUGUUAGGAUUUCAACAUAUGAAAGGGGAGCAGAAUGGAUACAAACAUUCAGAUCAUAGCACUGCCCUACCCUUCUUGGACAUCCUGGCUUUGAUACUGAACCCCAGUUACAAGGUAAAGAUCUUAUAAGGCUGAAAAAGUUAACAUUACUAAAAAUGAUAAACAUAUACUUAGUUAUUGCUCUUAAAUUCUUGGUGAUGAAAACUCAAAGUUAUAAUAACAAUGCAUUCCUUAAAUGCUGGGUCUGUUGUCAAUUGCCACAAAACAUUAAGGGAGAAACCUCUAGCAUAUCAAUUGCUUUCAUCUGAAAAACAUGUGCAAUGUUUGGACAGCUGGAGGUAAAAUCUUUUAAUGUUCCGAGUAUGGCACUGGUUUAUCACAGUAAAAUAUGUGGGAAAAUAUGGAAGUACUUGCCUUACAUUUAGCAAGUGAUGUUCCUGAACUCUUGCACUAUGUUGAUGGGAAGUGAGCUGUUAUCUAUCCCAGGCUGCACUAAAAAUGCUAUCUUGCGCUUUUGAUACUGGGUGAAAUGUCCAGCUUUCAUUUGUGUCUUUAAGAGAGCAAGAUAACUUGCAAAGAUUCCUAUGUCAUUUGUUGAGGCAGUGCUCACUCACAGUCAUAUACAAUUGGCCUGGUUUUCUAUCUUCCAAUAUUUGGGGCAGGGAAUGGUUAAUGCCUGUGAAGCAAAAUGAUUUGGGGAAAUAACAUUCUCAUCAAGUACGGAUAUACACAAUCUUAGAUCAAAAACUAUUAAAAUAAGGCUACAAUAAGACUGUAUCUCUGAAUCUGCUCCAUACUGAGAGGAUGGCUAUUGUACUACAGUCUGGUAGAAUCACACAGCUUAGAUUUCAAUUUAGCCAGGAAAGGAAAGGUGUAUGUUCUCAUUAGCAAGGAAUGAGAAGCAUGUAAAUUCAAAGCAUGUAAAAACAGUUUUGCCAAGUUGCACUACACUGAGAGCUAAGAUCUACUUAAAAGAGUUGGUAGCUUUUUAUGUUAUUUAGCAGUUACAAAAUUGUGCAAGGUACUACAAUGAAGCUAAAAAUAUUAGUCUAUAUAGAUGUGGCACUAAUAUUUAUUAAAAUGUUAUAUAGAUUGUCACUUUAAAAGACUAAUUUCAAAUGUUGUUGCCUGAUUACUAAACAAGUAGUGCACACUGGCAAAAAAAAAACAACAAAAAGCAAAACCUAAGGAUACAUGAGGGAGUUCAUGCAGAUUCUAACUUAAAGUUUUGUUAAGGAGUACCAAACUCCAUAUUUAAGCUCAGUUUUUCCAAUAAUUCUCUAAAGAAAGAUCUUUUAGCUUACUCUACCAUAAUUCCAUUUUUAUUUUGCUUAUUUUCUGCCUUUUUCACUGAUCAAUUAUUUCUGCUUAAACUUUUAUACACUAUUCUUUAAAUUAUAAAUGAGUGAGAUAAAUUUAUGGCUUUAUGGAUAUUUGCUUAGCAAUUAAACUAACUCAAUUCUAAAAAUUAGAUUUUAUUAGCAAGACAGAAAAAAUGUUUAGUAGAAAAACAUUGACUUGGGAGCCAAGAGGCAUAUAACAAAAUGUUUACAUUUUAGGAAUGAGCUCAGCAUAUAACUUAAAUCAAGUGCAUCGGCCUAAUUAUUGGAGCCUGAGGAAAGCACAUGUUUUCUCUCAAAUAUGUUCAAAUAUCUUUUAAUUCAGUAGAAAGUGGACCAAAGGGAAAAAUCUUAACAUUAACAUGUAUAUAAAACAUGAGGGCCGGGAAUUUAGCUCAGCGGUGACGCGCCUGCCGGCAAGUGCAAGUUCAAUGCUCAGUACCACUGCUCCCCCCAAAAAAACUCAUGAUGGGAUGCUACCCACUCCUUGGCCCAAAACAAUGCAUGAAUUGUGGGUUUUAAAUAAUAAUAAAUAUGCAUACAAGGAUCUAAUUACCUCUCAAAGAGGACAUAGAAAUAAUACGAUAUCCACGGAGUAAUUUGAAUACGUGUAGCUUUGGACUGAAUUUUAGUUUUCGGGUUUUUUUUUUUGGUAUGGGGUUUGAACUUGGGACCUUGCAGUUGCAAGGCAGGUGGCGGCACCACUGAGCUAAAUCCCCAGCCCUAGUAUCUUUUUUUUAAAGGUUAUAAUUAAUAUUAUUGAAGUUUGAAUUAUACGUUGGGCCUACAGACAACAGAAGAGACUGAUGUGGGACAGAGAAGCCUGUGAAUGAUCUUUACAAAGUCUGGGCCAACUGCUCAGGUUCGCUCAUCAAACACUGCCACAAAACACAAAGAGAUGACAGUAUGGCCCUGGCUAUAACACUGGAAACUUCCUAUUGAAUAUUACCCAUGAACACAGCACAUACUGCUAACUCACACAAUGGUAAUAAAUUCAUAUGUAUCCCUAGGCAUUCCCAGUUAGUUGAAGAAUUAUAUUUGGAGUAUACUUUUAAUUAAUGUAAUCUCUUAAACAUUCAUUUUCAAUGAGGGCAAAAUUUAAAAAGUCAUGUGCAUUUAACCUAAACUUUUCUUUAAGGAUCUACUGUAUGUAGUUCUUUAGAAAUUUUUGUUUGCUAUACUUCUUUCAAUCUGAUAAAGUGGUAGUCCUUAACAAAACUUAAAAAUGCCUUUUCCUCCUCGCCAACAAAAUGCAAAAUAAAAAGCAACACCUGAAGUGAACUUCCAUACUUACUACACACUUAUCUUCAGCAAAAAGAGCUUUCACUUUUUGGGUACAUGCCUACGGAGACCUCUGCCCCAGAAAAGUGCAAGUAAAUAUACCUUGUUUCACAGGCUUCAUGGACUCCUUGAACAUCACAACUAGAUCACAAGUUGACACGCUUACUUAGCUCAGAAUAUACUGUUAUUUCAAGUCCUCAGAAAUUGAGACCCAUAACAGGGAUACUGUAGGAAGAAGGAUAUCUGCCAUAGGCACAAACCCAUCCAGUGUGGUAUAGUUGUGGUAUUACUAUUAUUUGGUGUCCCAGCUUUAAUGGAACAGAAAAACAACUGAGAUUAACAAAUGGCAGUGUAAAGGAUGAAUUUAUUUCAGUGGGAAGAGAGUUAAGUCUUGAAUAUCUUUUAGAAAAUGUUAAAGCUUCUUUGCGGCUUCCAGAGAAAAAAGGAGGGCCUUCAUUCAGCCUCUACUUAACCCUGAGUAUCUUAAAUAGGAAUUGUCUUUCAAUGUAGUUAAAAUGAACAGAUGUUGGAAACAGGAUCUACACUCAUUUAUUUAGGUGAUCAAUAACUACUGAUGGGUAAGUGUUAUUAAUAUUAGUAUGGUUAAUAAAAGGAAAAAUUGAUAAUGAAAAUGUAUUUAAAAACUCUGAAGUCUUCAUCUUUGUUCAAAGUACAUGGAGGCAUUGUAUUAACUGCAAAAAAAAAAUUAUGUCAGUUGCUUUGUACUCCCACAGAACUACUUCUCAGUGCACUAUCACACAAAGAUUAUUCUAGAAUACUUUCCAGUUCUACACACUAAAAAUCAUGUUAAGGAAUUAUAGCAUCUUGGGCCGGGGAUAUAGCUCAGUGGCGCUGUGCCUGACUGGUAAGUGGAAGGUCCUGAGUUCGAUCCUUGGUACCAAAGGGGGAAAAAAAUUAUAGUAUCUUUAAAAUGUUUUCACUGAACCAUUGGUUAGAAUUUUCCUUAAUAUACAGCAAUAAGCUUCAACAAUUUACACUGGUGGUGGCUGAAUUUCCAUUCUGAUACUAUAUAUGAAGAGUUAGUAAUAUUUUCAGAGAAAAACAACAGGUAAGUAAAUUCAAUUAUUAUUAAGUCAACAUUACUCUGACUCAUGUAAUUAUGAAGGAAAAACUGCAUAUACUUUUAUGAAACCUAAUUAUUACACAUUUGCAUUUCAGCCUGAUUCUCAUUUCAUUGUUUUGUCAACAAGACUGCCAACUCCUUAAGCUUUACAGCUAGUCAAGAAUUAAAUCUGCAUUAAAUACAGAAUUAAUUUGUCUUUGGGGUUUAAUUUUUUUAAUUAAUAGCAAAAUACAAUGUCAAGAAGAGUCAAUGUACCAAAAAAUUGAAACAGAAAACCAAAAUUCAUUAAAACAAUUUGUUUGUUUGCUCAGUAGUAUAUUUUUUUACAUUCACUGAGCAUUCCCUUGCCUUUCCCAUAAUUAGAAAGUUAAUUAUUGAAAUCAUAUUUUUGUGGCUCUGAGUUUUCAAAAAUGUGAUUUAGAUGCUUGUUAUUAACAUUACAGCAGUUUGAGCAAUACUAAUACUAACACUGAUCCUAACACUAAUGUGAUGCUGUUUGUACAUAAUUAUAUUUAAUUGCCCCUAUUCUGAACAGGAAUUUGAAUUUGACUCUGUUACAGAUCCUGCUUAAAUAUUAAAAAUAAGAACUCUGUGGUCUGAAUAUUUAUUACAACCUUUAUAGCUAGGAGUUAAGAAUAAUCUAGUACAGGGUACACUUGCCUUCACUUCCACCUCUUGCUUGAGGUAGCCAAUCAAUAUUUACUCAGUGAUUUGUAAUCUGCAUUGAUAAAAAUAAGUAAUCGCUUGGUUUAGUAUUUAUGCUCUUCUGAAGUUUUCAGAAGUGCUCGAAAGUGUUAGAAUACUUCAAAGUGUAUAGUGAGCAGUCAGUAUGAGGACCUUUUGUGAUUAAAAUAAAUUAAAUAAAUAAUUCACAAAUAUGGUACAUCAAACCCAUAGCAAUGUUGAAAUUCAGAAUGAGGUAAAUGACAUAAAGAACAACUAAGACUAAUUCUCCAUCAAAAGGACACCGUGGGGGGGGGGGGUCAGUGGUUCCGCCGCCUGCCUCGCAAGUGCAAGGUCCCGAGUUUGAUCCUCGGUAACAAAAAAAAGUACACCUGGGAAUGCUACUCCUCAAGUGUAUUAUUAUGAUUUCCUAACAUUUAAUUUUUUUUGGGGGGGGGGAGGUACUGGGAUCGAACUCGGGACCUGGAGCUGGUGAGGCAGGCAGUGGAACUAAUGAGUUUAAAUCCCCAGCCCUCCUAAUAAUAUUUUAGUUAAGCCUUAUUAAAGUAUUUUCAAUUGAAAAUUAUCACUUAAAAAAUAAAUCAUAUUGGGUGACAUAUAUACAAAGAAUACCUUUAAUAGCUAAUGAAAAGCUUAAGAUCCCAAAAAAGUUUAUCAGACCUUUUGGGUCAAAUCAUUCAGAAAUCUGUAAAUUGCAGAUUCAGAGUAUCUGCAUUAAAACUGCCCUAAUUUGCAGUGGAAUAAACUCUUUCCUCACCUUUAAAAGCUUAGUUAUUAAUACUCCUUAUAAUCACCAUUAUAAUAGAAAGGUUCUAUGAUUCAAAGUUGUAAUCAAAUUUUCAAAUAAGACAACCCAUAUAAAAAAGCUUAGCAUAUUAUAGACAAGAGCAGUAAAGCCAUGAAAGCAUUCUCACAUCUUAUCAAUAGUACCUUUCUUCUUAAUAUCUUUCAAGAAAUAUCAAUGUAACUUGAUAUUUCAAUUGUUCAAACAAUUUAGCCAUUUUUUUUACCUCAGAGUAACCUAAAAUCCAAAAAUUUCUCCAAUGAGUUAACAUACAAUUUAUCAUUUGUCAGCUGUUAAAAUCACAUACCUGAAACACCUGAAUUUGAAACUGGGUUCAGUUUUUUGAAAUUUAAUUCAAAGAGGAAAUUGUUAAUUUAUCACAAUUUCUUGACUAAACAAAACAAAAACUGUUGCUAUUAAUCAAUGAUUUGCAGUUAUUGUUAAAAACUCUUUCAUUUCUUCACAACAUAACGGCUUUGCAUAAUUUCUCAUCAGAACAGGAAAGCACACAAAUUGAUUCUCCACAAUUUUCACUAUUACUGGUAAGUUUUUAUAGGAAUAGUUUUCAUUAAUGCUUGAAAACUGAGCUAUAUUUUACUUUAUAUCUUAUCAAGUUAGUUGGAGAAUAUCUAUUGUGGUAAAACUGUCAGCACACCUAACAUUUUUUUUCCAGGAUCUACCUGCUCUAUGCUGCCCACUAUAGGAAAUGUAAUUUGGUAAUAAGAAAUGCAGGACUACAUAUUAGCUUACUUUAGGGCAAAAAAAUUCCCUGGCUACUUAGAUGCUAAGAUACAGUGUUCUUGCAAGGGAUACAGACUGAUUAGUGGUAACCAAAUUUAUUAAAUGUAAGGGACAUCAGUAGGAACAGACAGGACCAGAAACUGUAUCUUGGUGAUCCAUACACCAGCAGUAGCAACCGGGUGAGGCAGGAGAUGGGGCGUGGAAUUUACUGAAGGAGCAGCCUCCAGAAAGCUGCAGGCAGCGCUGGAGUAAAUUUUAGGGUCAACAUCAGAUAAACAAACACUUCGAAAAAAGUCUUGCAAACACAAACGAUUGCUGCAAUUGGAAAACAUUUAAAGUCAAAUAUUCCUGUAAUUCCUGUAUAGCAGAUUUAUUUCAUCAGACAAGUCUUCUCCCUUUACACCCAAUAAUCUUAGGAGCAAAUAGCAUUACUAGCUAACUUUUGUCUUGCAAUUUCUAACCACUGUAAAACUGAACCUUGUAGUAAUCUGAUAAACAUCAAGCUUUAUAUGCUUAUGUUUUCGCUUUGAGUAGAGUAUAUCUAUCUAAAUGGUUAAGGAGUUAAAUUCUAUCAUAUACUUGAGGACUCCAUUUUGAAGAUUACAGUCUCUUCUGUAAUGUUCAAAUCAAUUCUCUAGUUUCAUAUCAAAUCUUAAAAACUUUAAAAAGGAGUUAAAAUAUUAGUGUCACUCUUAAGUCUUUAGCUUUUGAUAUUUGCCCUGAAAAGCAAAACACAUAUUAUGUUUGUAGCUUACACGCUUACACACACACACACACACACACACACACACACACAAAUAGCAGUCAGUGGCUUAAAAGUGGAAACCUCCCCUGCAAAGUAAAAACAGGUCACCCCUCCACUCUGAAUUGGAAAUAAAGGUGACUAGGCUUGCCCAUUGCAGACUGAUACUGGAAAAAUACGCUCUUAACGUCUAGCCUGAAACAGUAAUAGCACACAAUCCUAGAUCUCGACUCUGACACCUUCUAUUCCAGGUUGGAGGCCUUCGUCCCAACCACAGCCCCGGAGCACCAUCCCGGCUGGGCAUCCACUCGUCCCGCCCGCUCCGGCCCGAGUCGCUGGGCAGUGGCCUCUGGGGCUCCGAGGGUCACGAUGCAGACGAGGAGACCUACAGACUCCGGCGUCUAAAAACUCGCGAAAAGUCUUCCUGUACGGGUGGCGGGGCCACGGCCACCGCUGCUACAUCGCAUCAGCCGGUCCACGACCCCUCGGAUCCCAGUCAACGGCCAGGAGCGUGAAGAGCAACCAAAGCCACCAAGAUGCCGCGUCAGGUUCCCGGAGCUGUCAUCCGGAGCUUUCCUUUCUCCCCUUAGUUAAAAUUACCAGGGCGGCUUCUACCGCUUCCUUUGAGAAAAUGAAAAAGUGAAAAAGUGUAGAGGUGACAGUUCCCGAGCAAGGUGGUCUUUCAGCCUCCAUCCCUCAGGCCGGCUUUCCAAGCUCGGAAGCAUUCUCAGCGGAGGUAUUCCAUGUUGACAGAUCUCUCACCUCCCACAAAAUGGGGCCGAGGAGGCGGCCGCUCUCUCCUCUAUGGGCGCCGCCAUUUUGUGAGGCGGCGGCGGCGGCGGCGGCGGUGGCGGCGCGGCGGCAGGAGCCCGGGGUGUGUGUAAUGGUUGAAUAGAAUGACCCCCUCUAGGGAAUCCCCGGCACUGACAG